AUUCCUUAUAUUUUGGGAAAAUGGGUAAAAUGUAGGAUAAAAGAGACCACAUGAUCAUUGGAGGAGCUCGUAGUCAAAUAUAGGUAAGCUGGCUAAUUCAGGUUAACCCGAUAGGCUGAUUCCAGAAGUGGGACUUAGAAAGAAGAAGAAGAAAACUGGAGACAGAAAAAGAAAGAUGACGAGAGGAAAGCAGAAGAUCGAAGCUCAGAAAAAGAAUGCAGAGAAGAAUCAAAAAAAUAAAGGAUCUCAAUUUGAAGCUAGGGCUGCUGCUCUGAAAGUCGUUUGCCCUAUUUGCAAGGUGCAACUAGCUAAUGCAAAUCAACUUGGUGAUCACUACUCGUCCAAACAUCCAAAGGAAAAGCCUCCAAGUGACUCUACCUGAGUGAUUACGCCUUAGCAACAAAGAGAGAAGAACUACAAAGCCUUAGCAACAAAGAGAGAAGAACUACAAACCAUCUCUUUAGUAUGUCAUCUGUACUCAUUUAAAAUCCGGAAUAUCUAAAUUUAACUAUCAAACAUCUGAAUAUGUAAUCCAUAUCUGUACUUGUGGAGAUAAAUAACAAAUCUAUAUAUUUCAAAGAUGAGAGAUUUUGAUA